GAUUGCACUGCAAGGAGUUUCUUACUCUGAAGAUGGAGUAAUCAACAAUAUUCUGCAAAUGUCUACAGUAUUUCUGACAAGCCCUGCACACGGGGUAAGGAUGGUCUCUGCUCACCAGGAGGUGCUGCUGACUGGAUGAAAUUAAUUUCUGCAACUCAGCCACCAUCCAAUGAAGUCCUGCAGGACACACUGAAG